AGAACUAACAAGGAUCCCCUAGUAACGGCGAGUGAAGCGGGAUGAGCUCAAGCUUAAAAUCUCUGUGCCAGUUUGGCAUGGCGAAUUGUAGUCUAUGGAGGCGAUAUCAGUGCGACUGUUCGGGGUAAGUUCCUUGGAAGAGGACAGCAUCGAGGGUGAUACUCCCGUUUGUACCUGUUCAGUUGCGCGUACGAUACGUUUUCUUUGAGUCGCGUUGUUUGGGAAUGCAGCGCAAAGUAGGUGGUAAAUUCCAUCUAAAGCUAAAUAUUGGUGCGAGACCGAUAGCGAACAAGUACCGUGAGGGAAAGAUGAAAAGAACUUUGAAAAGAGAGUUAAAGAGUACCUGAAACUGCUGAAAGGGAACCGAAUCGUUUCCAGUGUCUAUAAUCCAUGGUAUAUUUCAUUGGUGAGUGAGUGCGUGCAGCGUUUUGGAAGUGGUUUCCGCUCCUGUCGUUGUUGUGCAUUUGCUUGCUGGUGCCCUGUGCUGUGGUGGGACGUCAGAGUCAGUUUGUAUGUUGCGGGAAAUGAUUAUUGGGGAGGUAGGUCGCUUCGGUGGCUGUUAUAUCCUGAUAAUUAGUCGUCGUGGCUGAGACUGAGGUGCCUACAACGUGCUUUCGAGUCUGCGGGUUUCUCGUGUUGCUGUUUGCUUUGAUAGCUUGCUAUGUUGGUGAAUAAGUAGUGCGAUUGAGAUUUGUAGUAACUUGUUGCCGUUCGGGACUUUGAC
rnacentral:rRNA from 1 species